rnacentral:misc_RNA from 1 species
AUGGAGAAUUUUGCUUUGGCAGCCAUGGCGAAGAAAAAUCGGAAGCGGAAGCUCGAGGCCGAGGAAGAGACCGAGACAAAAUGGGAAUUAUCGAAUAUUUUGGAUGCGGAGCUCAGAGAAGAAAUGGCCACGAUGUGGGAGAUCCCACAAAUUUUUCACUUUUUGCACAUGUCCAAAGAGGCUCUGAAUAUUUCACAUUUGUCGAUGUACGAAAUGGAACGAAUGCUCGCUAUGCCGCGGGCCUCGAAGCAACUUGCGAUGAUAAUGACUGCUCUUCUGGGACCCCCUCGACCAAAAGGUAAAAUCAAAACUGUGCCUCCGAUGCCCUACGAUUUCUGGGUAAAUGUUCUGACGCACAAAGUUAAAGGAUGGUUCAAAGUUUAUCAGAGCAAACAUCAGGACAUUGUUAAGGUAUUUGAAGCGAUUGGAGUAGAGCCAGAAUUUUGGAAAUUGUUUCCAGAAGUUUCAAUUAUCGAUGAAAACGAAUUCGAUCAAUUGAGCUUCAAGCAGCGAGUCUGGAUCUUGAAAACUCUCUGUGACACGCUUAUGCAUUCCAGAAAAACAAUUCAGGAUGAAAUGGCGAAACAAAUGGUCGAAGACAGCUGCGAAGUCGUUUUAGGAUGCGACAGAUUUGGAGCAAAAUUCAUUUAUUUUCCACUUUUUCUCGACAAUGAUCUGAGGGUUUACAGGCAGUGUAUAGACAACACCAUUUUGUCGACAGUAAGGCAGCCUCCACCAUGGACGGAAUCACAGCCAUCAACAAGGCCGGAAAAAAAUGGUCGAGGAAAGAGGAAGCGAUCGAGAUGGAAAAACGGUUCAUUACCGCAAUACAGAAAGCGAACGAAGAGGGUGCAAGACGACGAUGUAAAGAUGAGUGGUGACAGUGCAUUGGGAUCGUCGUUGAACGAGGACACGAAUUUGAGCGGUGCAAGUUCGUGCAGCAAUAAUAAUAACAUUAUAGCGGAGUUAGAGGAGCGAAAUCGCUCAAGGAGUCCGUCAAAAGCGUCAGAAUUGGGUAGCAACGUUUCCGGAGACACAAGGUCGAGUAAAAAGUCCAGUGGGUACGACACGAAUACGUCAACGAGCGAUGGAAAGUCGUUUAACGAGGGUGAGUCGGAGGAAAUGUUUCGGGGAUUCGACAGUGAGAUAAAAAGCAAAAGUAGCACUGAUGCGAUCGGAAAUAUCCACGAAAUUCUCACUAGACUUACGAGCAAUGCGAGCGAAACUCCGAGCAACGAAAACUCGAUGGAAGAUCUUAAUACGGAAAUCGAGAGCAGGAGAAUCGACGUUAACGACGACGAGGACGAGGAGAAAAAAGACGAAGAUGCCUUAUCCUUAUGCGAGACUAAAUUUUCCGACGAUCCACGUCCAGAAUCCCGAGCUGAGAGCGAAGACUUGAACUGGAUCAAAUCUCAUUCAACGAGAAAUAAAUAUACCGAUCCUGAAAAUUUUCGGAAAGAACUUACCAUUUUUUCCACAAUGCUUACCGACUUGAGUGUCUCUACUUUCGAACUUGCCGCUGACAGCAUCGAUUCUCUGCGAGAUCUUGCCAAUACCCUCAAGAUACCCGACGAGUCUCGAAGAACUCACGUCGUACCUAGAUGCGAGCUCACUUUGGCUGGCGCUUUGCAAAAACUCGCUGAAUCUCUCAGUCCCAUCGAACCUAAGCUUCGGGAAUCCACGAGAAAAGCAAGAACGAAACUCAGGAAGGAAUUCACUAAUUUCAGAGACGGCAUAAUCAAGGAUCAGGACACGUCCGGUGACUCCGAUCGCGGCUCUAAUGGAUGGAUUAUUGGAUCGCAGGGCUGCCCACUGUUAUCCUCCAGCGAAACAGCAUUACAGGAGGUAUCGGACGCUCCCUUAUCCCCAGCUGGCACCAAAAGCGAAGGGGAAAGCGAGCCGAAAAAUAGUGACGAAGGAGACCGAGAUUCUGCUGAGCCGGAAGUCAACGAGGACGGAGAGAAUGACAAGGAGGAAAACUGCGACAAAGGAGAAGACGGAAUCAAAGAUGAAAACAAAGAAUCGGGCGAGAACGACGACGAACAAGAUUCCGAGCCUCAAACAAGAAGAGUAUUACGAGCCCGAGGAGUAUCAUCGUAUACGGAACAAUUGUCAUCAAGCGAGGAAGAAGCGUACGAGUUGGAAGAAUGGUCCUUGCUUGAGGCCUUCAAUUCGGCUCCCGGCACAUCGAACGGUGGAUCCGGUAUCAGCAUUGUUACAAAAGGAGGAGGCAUCGAUCACUCAGGGCAGAAGAACUCAGACAAAGAUUGGAUUUUACCUGGCGCUCGCAAACGGAAACAUAAAACUUCGCCAUUGAGUAAAAGAACAAAGACUUCUACGCCAAGGGUGUCGUUUACGACGGGCAAUUCGCAAGAUUCCGUUUCGAGUGUAUCGCCACCAAUGCCGCAAGGCUCGGGUGAAAAAUCCCGAACAAACGACAAAGGUUCAACGGACAAUUCCUUCAUAUGCAAAGUAGAGAGUGUACAUUCGGAGUUGGACAUAAAGGACGAAGGUCCGAUAUUCGAGUCAAAUCGAAACACCAAUCAACUGGGCGCGCAGCAAAACAGCUCAUCCUCGGACCAGCGUCAAACUGUUCGUGUUGCGAGCAAUCCACGGCCUGUGAGGCCGAUGGGAACUGUGGUACCACCGAGGUUAAUGCCACAACAAAUGCCACCCGGUUAUUACGUUCAACAACCGCAAACUUAUUUCGAUCCUCGUUAUAUGAGGUAUUCGUAUCCGCCACAAGCUCGAGGCAGUAUGGCGUACCCUUAUCAACAAGCUGGGCAUCCUCCACCCCCUCCUCCCCCCCCUUAUCCGGGUCAAGCUCAAUAUUGGCAACCGCCGAACUAUCCGGCAUUGCCCCCCGGAGCGUUUCCAGCUGGUAUUCGAGGAGGAUAUCCGGCACAACGUGGCGUUACGCAGCGUCAGCAAGGGCCUUCGACGACACUCUACGGAGCCAGAAUGCCGAGUCAAGGUCCGCAAAAUCGGAUGCCCGCUCCGAGGUCGACUUCGACGCAGAAUCCUAUGAUGCGUUUUCCUUGGCGUCCUCGACCUCCGCUCAAUCAAGCGCCACCCCCCCGACGCUACGCGCCUCGAUCGACACUUCCUCAGCGGAAUCCAACGCCGCGAGCCACCCGUCCGAAUCGCCCGGUCCCACGGCCACCGGGAGUUAAGAAACCAGCAGUUGAAAAAUCAACCUCGUUGAUACUUCUCAGCGACAGCGACGACGAGAUCGAAAUGAUCGUGCCUGAGAAACAAAGUGUCAGAACUCCCAUCGCCCAAACCCGCAAGACGCCUCAAACCAGCGACAAAACUCCGACGAGUACUCGACCUAAAUCCAGGCCUGUCGUCACCUCCCAAAUAACCGUUUCCAAAUCUAACGAACUUUUGUCACCUCAAAUGAUCCAGCGUAUGAGCCAAGGUGGUAUUUCCAUCACGCCCGUAAAACCCCCAGCUUCCAAACAAAAAACUCCUGAAACUGCCCAAGGCACUAAAUUGGUCGUCGUCGUUAACGAGACCGGAAGUCACUAUGCCUUGGCACUCCCGAACGGUAGUAAACUCAUUCUCACUCCCGAACAAGUCGCUCAGAUUAGAGCCUCCAACGGUGGCAAACUUGUUCUAUGAAACGACGCGAACCUCUGAGAAACGCCCAGUCAGUGAUCUCGGAUAUAUUUUAUUAUAACUUUCAUUACUCAAAGCUUCGGCAACGUCGAAGCAACUUCAUUUUUUUCCAAGUUUUUUUUCGCAUUCUUUGACCUCCGAUUUAGACUUGAUUCUGCUUUACGAAAGCCUUCCUCUCGCUGCCCACAAACUUGACCAAUCGAGUCCCGUUGAACGGAGAAUCGCUGCCGGGAGGA